rnacentral:lncRNA from 1 species
UCCGUCCUUAGUCGUUCUUUAUAUCCAUAUUAGCUUAGCUUUCUGCGCCUGAGGACGUCCGAAGGACUCUAAAAAGGAGCGUUCUAAUGGAAUUCAUAUUCCGCAAUAUUCUUUGCGCCUAAUCUCAUUCAUUCAAUAUUCUUUUCACCUUCGGUAAACUUUAGCGGAAUCCUUGAGUCCUCCGGACGGACCGGACCACUAUUUCUCAAAUUCUUUGAUCCUCUUGACUUGUCUUUCCUAUAAAAGAUAAGAAAGUCCAUUCAAUGAAUAGAUCUCUUUGAAAGGGUACGAGAGAGAGCGCUGCCUACACGCGAAUUAGCUUCCGAGGUCAAGCAGUCUCAAUAUUGAACUACAGGAUUGAUUUGCGAAUUCAUGCUGGGCUGGGCCACCUCGAAUGGCGUGAGCCGCAUGCGGGGAGACCCGCACGUACGGUUUUUAGGGGGAUCUGGUCGAAAGACCGGCGCCCACCCGACUAGAGGGACUGAGAAAUUAAUAGAGUACAAAACUUAUCUUCAAGCUUUACCUUAUUCUGAUCGUUCAGAGGGCGAUCGCGGAGUCACUGAAUGAAGUCCUCCCUUUCUUUCGGAGGUGCUGACCCGCAGCGAGGCAGAGAUGACUAAGUUACAUAUUCCAUAUGGCGACGACAACAGCAUGUCGUAGAAGGAGAUAAGAGGUGGAGCCAACGACCCACUAAGACUAACGUAUCUACAACUACAUCCCCGAGCGGCAGUCAAACGGAGGCGUGAAUGCAAGAUGCCAGCGGAAUGAUCGGCCGGACAGAGGCUAGGGCUGCUUUCUUCCCACCGCGUCCUUCCUUGUGUGUCGGAGAUAUAAAGCGAGUGCACCGGAAAAGAAGGGGAACUGGGUUGAUCUAUUCUAUGGCGAAGCAUCCGAAGCAUAACUGCACACUCACACGAUCUUUGCCGAGAGAUAGGAGCAUUCGGUGGAACCGGUGAACUACACUUGCUUCUGGAUAGAUGUGUGGGACAGAGGGCUCGUGGUACCUGCAGCCCACCCUUCCUCCUCUGCUUUGAGAACCGUGUGAACGGAGAGUGGGCAGAAGGGAAAGAGGUCCUCAUACGGAGUCGCACACUGACUUUUUCUGUGCGGGAGACUGGAGAAUGGGUCGAGUAAACUCCCCCGGGGCCGGCCGGCAAAAUCACAGACUCAGUGCUAUUUCUUUUUUCUUUAUUGAAUUUCAAAGGAGGCGCAAAGAAUAUUGCGAGGCAGAGGUAGUACUUCGAAUGGCGAAGAGAGGCGGCUCGGCAAAGAAGGAAUGGGAAAGAUUCUGACUUCUUUGUUGGCGAAACGAAGGGCUAAAUAGCGCCAUUCUCUGAGCCGGUCUGGAUUUCCAAUGCCUCGGGAAAGAGGUCGAUCUCGAUGACAAGACCUUUUUCUUCUUUAUUGGGUGCCUUCUUUUAGAAGUAGUCGGAAAGAGAAAGCCUAAAGAAGGAAUUGCAUGAAUGAUCGAGGAUUCAAGUUCCAUAAAUCAGUCCAAGGCUCAAAGAGGUUAAUAUGGAAGGUGAAAAGUGGUUUUCAAAGUCAGAGCUAUCCCUUAUUAUUGAGGGCUUUGACCACCUGGACACUCGCCUACUCAGUCGCAAGGAUCAAAGAAUUUGAUUGACAAAGAAUAUUGCGAUUUUACAGACUCAAGAGGAUCAAAGAAUUUGAGAAAUAGGCAGUCAUAAAGGCUCAGUUAAGCUUGAUAAAGGACUCCUUCGCCCAUCCAUAAACAUAAAUAAAUAGAGAGAGGCUCAAAGAAUUUGAGAAAGCCUACCAUAAAUCAGUCCGACUAUCCUGGGAAGUCGCGCUUUGCUUACCGGCUCAGGCUUCCAAAGGCGACCAGCUUGAAAUACCUUUUCUUACGUUACGCUGCCAUUGAUUUUUCCAAUCUCAUUGAAUAGCAUGGCCUGGGGUAACUUAAGUGGGAGAGCCGUGUUAUGGGUGACCUUAUUGCACGGUUCAGAGAGCACUUGUGUAUGUGAUGCAAGUGAACGUGUACGAAAAAGCUGUAGGAAAGUGAGUUCUUCGUUCCGUCGUCGACCCUAUCUAUGUUUCUACGAUGGCCCAAGAACACGCUCAUUCUUCAGCUGUAGAGAGACUUUUGAAUUGCGAGGUACCAUUACGAGCUCAAUAUAUACGAGUCUUAUUCCGUGAAAUCACUCGAAUUUCAAAUCAUUCACUUGCUUUAACUACUCAUGCUAUGGAUGUGGGAGCAUCAACUCCGUUCCUGUGGGCUUUUGAGGAGCGGGAGAAAUUAUUUGAAUUCUAUGAAAGAGUCUCGGGAGCCAGGAUGCAUGCCAGUUUCAUACGACCAGGUGGAGUGGCACAAGAUCUGCCUCUUGGCUUAUGUCGAGAUAUUGAUUCCUUCACACAACAAUUUGCUUCUCGUAUCGACGAAUUAGAAGAGAUGUCAACCGGCAACCGUAUCUGGAAACAACGAUUAGUGGAUAUUGGUACUGUCACUGCACAGCAAGCAAAGGAUUGGGGAUUCAGUGGUGUAAUGUUAAGAGGUCGUGCGACAUGAAGACAUUGAUAGCAAUAUGGGGGAAGUUCCCAUCAGGCAACAAGGGUUCUGCCUGACCCUACUUAAGCAUGCAUAUUAUGUCAGUGAAGACUUGGUGUGAAGCCUUGGAGCUUACGUUAGAAGAGCAAAAGGCCCGGGGCUAGGGUAAGCUGAGGGGGGACAGCGUAAGUGAGCGAAUGUGUGUAAGCCCAGUCAAAGAUGACUGUUCUAGGCGGGGCGGGCCACCCACCUGAGAAUGGUCUUGGUCCUACGGACCGUGAACGGAUUCGCCUCUGGCCUCUGGGUACGUCUCCACCGCAUAAGUUCACCGGGGUGGAGCACGGUCCGCCAAAAUCGGCAUAGGUUAGGUGCUAUUGAUGGAACAUGGUAAGCCUAUCUUUCUCCAUAUGGAAGUGCUGCGGGCACAUAGAGAUGUGGGUAGAGGAAGCCUCAAAAAGCGAAGGCCGAGCUGUAGGUCACGUGACCUGCACCGAGUUGGUGGCUGACUGGGCUUUUUCCUAGAUCAAAGCGGAGAAGCGAGCCUGAUUCUUAUCCAAAAGUCGGUCCCAAAAACUUUAGGGUUCUUCCCGUGUAGUGGGCUUGCUUUGCGCAACUGCGCCCCACUUUAGGAAUUUGGUGUCCAUUUAAAGUCUAAUCUUUCACUCAAAUUUCAUUCAGCCUCAUUCAUUCAAUAUUCUUUUCACCUUCGGACCGUCCGAAGGACAGACGGGUCCUCCGGACCUGUGACGCCUUCGCACCUGGAAGUCGCUUCGCUUCGCGCCUCCUACAAUAUCCCUGUCUUAUGGAGCCGGAGGACGGACCAAAAAAUAGGCGAAGCGAGACAGAAAGAAAGCAUAGGAGGAAGAGCCAUAGGCGCAGCAGCUAGAAGAAAGCAUAGGAGGAAGAGCCAUAGGCGCAGCGCUUGUGAUUAGAAUCCCAGUCAAAAGAGAAAUCAGCCUUUUGCCUUGGGAAAGAGAGAAUUAAUGAGAAUGAAACUGGAAGUCUGACUCACACUUGAGAAAUUCAUGUGUCUCGCAAAUGAGAGAGGAUGUAGUAGGUCCAUGAAUGAAUUGCCUUUUCUCCUAGGCUUUCCUUUCCAAUCCCUAUUUUUUUCUUUAUGAAUGAAAAAAGAAAGGCUGAAUGAAAUUUGAGUUUGCGCCUUCUGACUUUAUCAAGCUUAACACAUCUACAUUGAAUUAUAAGGCGCAAAGAAUAUUGCGAAGCGAAGAACAAAAAUCAGGCUCAAUGCAAGAAAGCAAAGAACUAAAAAGAAAGGUCCAGAUGCGUCACAGGUCCUCCGGACUGCGACUGAGGCGCAAUGAAAUAUGCGUUCAGGAUCAAUUCAAAGUUCAGCGGGAAGAACUGGUCCGAAGGACUAUCCAUAUUAACCCAAAGAAAGAUUGACCUAGAAAGAGAGGACCGUAGGAGGCUCAAAGAAUGAUCGGAGUAGGUGCAAAGAAUAUUGCGAAGGCGCAAAGAGCUCAGAAUUUUCUCUUUUUAUCCACCCCAUAAAUCAAGUCCAAAAAAUAGGCGUCCUUCGGACUGGUUUUUUUAGCAUCAAAAUUCAAUUCUCCCAACAUCGUUCGUCUUCAUGUCUUUCUGGGAGUCGAGGGCUCUUCACUUUCAUUCAGGUCUUUCCUUAUUCCCUUUUUGAAUGCAUGAGACAUGAAAAGAAAGAAAGCCUCAAGCAGAACCACAUUCCUUUUGCGUGCGGAUGUAGCUAAGUGUCUGACCCUUGUUUGUGAUUCCCUGCUGUUGCGGCCUAUCCUUGAAUGCGCGUGAACCAACCCAAGAAAGAAGGAAAGGAUGCCUCUCGGGGCAUCUGAGAAUGAUUAGAGCUGUAUGAAGGGAAACUCUCACGUACAGUUUCUUUUUUUUUGGGGGGGGAAGGAGCCCGACAGGGUCCCCCCACUGACUUGGCCCGGGCCUAAGUGAAAGUGAAGUGGUGGGCCUACCCAUCCCAACCAGGGGUAUGCUGGGAUUUGCGAAGAGCAGCACCUUACGAUGUUCAUGACCAAUUGGAUCCUGACGUACCAGUAGGUACCAGAGGAGAUCGCUAUGAUCGUUACUGUAUCCGUAUCGAAGAGAUGCGACAAAGUGUUCGGAUCAUUGUGCAAUGUCCUAAUCAAAUGCCUAGUGGGAUGAUCAAAGCCGAUGAUCGUAAGCUAUGUCCUCCAUCACGAUCUCGAAUGAAACUAUCCAUGGAAUCGUGUGCCGUGUGAAACGUAGAUCAUCGCCGUUCUUAACCGAGACUCAGGUUAAGCUCCGUCUCGGAACCUUGUGGGGUUAGGAGUAAAGCAUCCCGAGGUUGACGCAUCUCGUUGGGCGUGGAGAAACAUUGGGAACCAAAAUAGCUUUCUUCGGAGCCGUUUCUUCUCCCGUCCCCCCGCCCCGGCAUAGCGCUUCGCUUUCGGUGAUUCUUCCGAAUCAACUGACUUCUCCCUUCUUCAUUGAUCUGGGGGAAAAGGAACCGUCUACCUGUUGGGAAGCUAGACAUUCAGUAAGUGGCUUGAUGAGGAUAACUAAGCUGACACGCCGGAGUUGGCUGCUGGCACAACUGGGUGGUGCCUUACCGCACCGCAGGUUCACGCGCGGUAGCGUUCGUGGUGGUGCUUCAGGAUUCCAAUGUACUGCAUCCAAGAUCAGAACGAGCUUGCCGGCGGACCAUUGCCGUCCCAUUCUUGAGUGAGCUGGAGCGCAGCCAUCUUAUCCACUGAACUAGCGUUAAGCUAUUGCUUCGGGUCGAAGCACUAAAAGAAAAGGACCAGGAAAGGCGGCGGUAUAGGAACCACGGGACCCCCCCACUAGUCUAGUAAAGGGAAAAGAGAAGUGCGCUCCUCUCCUGUAAGUAAAGCAGCUUCGCACCUCUCAAGAAAUAAGAAGAGCAGCUAAAAGGAAGGAAAGAUCGAAUUCAGAGAUCAUUCAACUCUCUUUCAUACUCUUUCUCUUGUUCCGCUACGUGGGCUUCCUCUUUCUUUUCCCUUUCUUGGUCGAGCUGCUGUCAAUAUUCUUUUCACCUGCGCACCUGCUUCAAAAGCCCUUUACCCUUUGAAUAAUAAGGUCAGCUUCAUAGUUCCAACCUAGAUAAGGCUUUUUUAUGCCCUUUUUUUAGGUUGGGUUGCUGGAUACGGGAUCCUCGUAGUAGGCUGGACCAAGAUCCAGCCGAGAGAGGGCAGCCUUUAGAAGGAAGAGGUUGGGAAAGCAAGAGAAGGCUGAGCCUUUUCUUAUCUUUUUCCCUAGGCUCGCCCCUCUCCCUACGGUCGAGUCUCUUCGCCCCUCUCCUUACAGUCUCAAUCAAAUUCUUUGACCCUCUCCUUACAGAAAAAAAAGAGGGAUUUGGAUUAUUGACCCAAUGAGAAAGCACUAACAUCUUCCUCGUUGGGGCUUCGCGCACUGGGAAAAGGCUAAGGCGACGGGAAAUCGGCCGUCAGUCUGAGGAAGCCCACGGAGCGGUAUCGAGAGGGCUAUCACAGUCAGGUGGAAAUUACCCCCGUACCCCUCUUUCAUUAUUAUGUUAGGGGGUUGAGGCGAGAAAUGGCUUGAUUCACCCUUCCGUUCGCCACGCACCGGCCCCAUUCACUUGCUUAUCGUAGAGGCUUGAAGUAUACAGUGCCCCACAACGUAGAAUAGUAUAGUGGGGUUGAAAGACGAGAGUGCCCGCCCUUUCUUUCAAGUAGGCCACUUUUUCCUCCACGCAGCCCGGGAUAAGCGUGACCGUGUAUAUAUAUCUAUAUAUAUCUUCUCCUCUCUCAUUUCUCAAUGUCCGCUUCAACCGCUCUUUCAACUACCAAAAAGCUAAGUUGGCUUGACGAGCGCAGAUGUGAGGAAGCGGGAGCAAUAAAACAAGAAAUCUCGAGGGCGAAAGAACGAAACUUGAAAGCAACCCGAACCUACUAAAACGAAAAGGAAGAAAGCCUAGCGAACAAGCCAGAUCAAUUAUGAAUUUGGCGGAAUAUAAGGUUUGAAUUCAGAGGAAGAAUCAGAUUCAAGUCAUAAGACGAUAGAGGAAGAGGUUAAAGGACAGCGGGGAAGUCAUAUCUAUCCAUCCUUAUUCGGUAAAGAAAACGGAGCGGUAAAGGUGCAAAGAUCUAUGGCCCACUCCUCCUUCAGCAUAAUCUAUAAGAAGAUUUGCACUGGGGGAUAUUCUUUGCUUGCUUUUCUUGUACUUUUUAUAGGACUAAACUAAAGGGUGCAGAUGAGAUUUUCAUGGGAAUGCAGUUCGAGCAAUCCGGACGGAAGAAAAUCAAUGAGGCCUCCUAAUCGCAUAUUUCAUUGCGCCUCCUAUAAAUAAACAAGUCCUCCAACUACGUUGCCUCCGCUCCCCCUAAUGGAUAGUCCUUCGGACCUGUCUUAUGGCACCGCUACGUGGGCUUAACGGUUCAUGAAUAUGGAUCAAAAUCAGUCCCACUAUUUAAGGCUCUUUUCAGAUUUCGAAAGAGUUCAUUUUUUUCAAUUUGAGAGAAGGACUGAUCGAUGUUAUUGGCAAUGAACAAGGUUCAAGCCUAGACUUAAGAGGAGCGCAAUCAAUGAACAAGGGGCCUACUAGAAAAGGAAGAAAAGAAUGAGAGAGAAGAAGAACCUACUAUUUGGAAGAAAGCCUAUCCCAAAAGAAAAGAUACAUCAAAAUAGAAGUUGCGCUUUCUUCUUAGUAGGUUUAGAAGAAACUGAAAGAAAAGAAACGGAAGGAUGAAAGGAAAGAUCAGUCAGAAAGACGCAAUGGAUAGUCCUCCGGUUCAAAGAAUAUUGACUAGCGCAAAGAAUUUGCGAAGAAGGCUAGGCGCAAAGUUCGGUUAAUUACGGAAAGUCCUACUUCCUUCUAAUGGAUAGUCCUCCUUCGGUUAAUUACGGAUGGUCCUACUUCCAUAUGGAUAGUCCUACGGAUAAGAAUCCUGCGGACUCCGGACUACGGAUAAGAAUCCUGCGGACUCCGGACCCUGGACCUUUCUUUGAUGGACAGGUGACGGGGGAUUUGAUGAGUGCAAGCGAAAACUAAUAGAUUUCAUAGUCCUUCGGACGGAUACCGCGCCUUAUCCACGAUCUGAAUUCAGCCUUCGGUUCAAUUCCCACGCCAAAAACAAAGGUCCAGAUGAGUUCAAAGAAUAUUUCAUGAAUUUCCUCCUUUCAAAUUCAAAAUAAUGGAAAUAAGGGUCCUGACGUUCAAUUAUUCCAAAAAGAAAGGUCCAGGUGACCUACAAUAUCCCUGUCUUAUGGAGCCUCCUCCUACGCGUCCAGAUCCCUUUCAGUUCCACGCAAUAUUCUUUGCUCCUACAACUUCGGAUAUUGAUCAAAGAAUUAUCGAUUAGAUCCAUUGAAUUUCAGGCUCAAUGAAAUUUGAGUCAAGAUGACAUUCUUUCUUUUCUGGGCCUUGUGUUAAGCAAUUCCAGAAGAAAGCCUAGGACCAUGAAUUUAUAGAGAAUAGUCCUCCGGACCUCCUUCAGCAUAAUCUAUGAAUGAUCGGAGCAUGAAAUGGAGAGGUGCAAAGAAUAUUGCGAAGGCUCUUUUCAGAUUGAGAAUAUUGCGAGAGUAAGAGCUAUCCAAAAAUCAUGAAGCAC